rnacentral:lncRNA from 1 species
AAAACUUUUUCUUCCGAAUCAUUCCAUUUUCUUUUUGUUUUGAAAUUUUCUUCCUUUCGUUCUUCCUCUCCUGGCGCUUUCUAGUCUGGUUCACACAGCCUAUCAUUUCUUCUUUGUUCUUCGGCGUACUCAGGGACCUCCAUUUCCAGGUCUACCUCCUCUUUUCUUCUUAGGGUUUCUGUUGCAAGAAUAUGUGCUAGAAUAUUUGCGUGUCUUGGUCUGUGUUGGAAGCUGAUGUUCUUUAACUCACUUAAUUUCUGUUGAAUAUCGUGAAUAUAUGCCCCUAUCAGUGAUCGAUCUUGCCCUUCUGUAUUGCAUUUUUUAAUUACUGUAAGAGAAUCUCCUUCAAAGAUGACUGACUACCAUCCCUUAUCUGCUCUUAUAUGAACUGCUGCCCGGCAAGCUACUACUUUCGCAGCAAAUGCAGAGGUGAUGUCGUUGUGGAUCUUUGAAUAAGAUAACAGAACUCUGCCUUCAUCAUCUCUGGCCACAAUACUUGAGGCUGAGUAUUUCUGGCUUUCUUUGUAUGCUCCGUCGAAGUUUAUCUUUAUGAAAUCGCGAUGUGGGUGCCUCCAUCUCUUGUUUUCUAUAACUGUUGUCGAUUACUCUUUCCAAGACCAGUUAAUUCAGUAAUGUAGUUGUUGGUGAAAUUUGCAAUUUCUUUUCCAUUGCUGACUUUUCCUUCGUGUAUUCUUCUAUUUCGGUCUCCCCAUAUGGCCCAAAGUGCGCAGCAGAAUAAACAACUUUGCCAAGGGUUGAGCUGUUCUAACACCCAGGUUAGCCACUGUACAAAGUUCGUGCUCUGGUCCAUAAUAAUAUUCUAAAAUGAUAAUGCUCUCCAUACUUAUGUUGUAACAGGGCAUUCUCGAAAUAGGUGGUCCAUUGUUUCAGCUCUUUCACCACAUCUGGGCCAGUUUGUGUUUGCUGAUAAUUUCCUGUGCUGUAAAUUCACUUUUGUAGGCAAAAAGUUCCAUGAUAGUCUCCAUAUUGUAAUCUUUAUCUUUGUUGGUAAAUUCAGGCUCCAAAGUUUUUUGUAGAAUUUCCUGUAGUUGGUUUGUAAAGCAUAAGCUCUAGGAUUUUCAUCCGAAUUCUAUAAUAGUUUAUAGGCACUUCGGACCAUGAAUUCACCUGAUGAUUCUCCUCCCCAAAUAAGGAAAUCCUCAUGAAGAGUACGUGCCAGAGGGAUUCGAAGAAUUCUUGCAGCGUCUUCUUCUGUGAAGGUAUUGUUAAUCAGCUCCCUCUUCCAAAGCCUUUUAUUACUAUCAAUUAACUCAUUAACUUUAAGAUCACACAUUGAAGUAAUCGCUGUUGAUAGUCUGAAAUUUACUGCAUCUGGGAUCCAAGCAUCAUCAUUAACUGAAAUAGUAGUACCCGUGCCAACCCUCCAGCAUAAACCUUUUGCCAGUAAAGCCUUUGCUGCCCAAAUACUUUUCCACACAUAAGAAUAAGAAUUUCCCAGACGGGAGUUUAAAAAAUGAUCAUUUGGAAAGUAUUUCGCUUUAAAAACUUGCGUAACAAGAGCAUUCUAAUUAUUGAUAAUUCGCCAUCCUUGUUUAGCAAGUAAGGAUAAAUUGAAUUGAGCCAUAUCUCUAAAACCCAUGCCUCCCUCCUCUUUAAAGCUGCACAAAGCUUUCCAUUGACACCAAUGAAUCUCUUUCUUCCUUUGGCCUUUUUGCCACCAGAAUCUAGCAAACAAAUUUUCAAACUCCCCACACAAAGAUUUUGGUAGAAGGAAGCAUGCCAUAGCGUAGGCUGGUAUUGCUUGAAGUAUUGAUUUUAUGAAAACCUCCUUACCCCACUGUGAAAGAAAUCGUGUACUCCAAUUCUCAACCCUCUGCUUAAUCCUAUCCUUGAGAUUUUGGAAAGAUUCCUUCUUUUGCCUUCCUACCACAUUGGGAAGUCCUAGAUAUUUUUCCAUAUUUGUUGAUCGCCUUAUUCCCAUUUCAAUUGAGAUAGUUGCUUUGUCCCCUUCCACUGUAUUAGAGCUGAAGAAAAUCAUGGACUUACUGAAAUUUACGCAUUGACCUGAACACUUCUCAUAUUCCUUCAAAAUAUCUUUUAAGAUCUUUGCCCUAUUCUUUGUAGCUUCACUAAACAGAAUACAAUCAUCCGCAAAUAGUAAAUGUGAGAUCGUUGGGCCCCUGCUACUAGCCUUAACUCCUUUUAUCAAACCCACUGUUGUUGUUGUCCUAAGUAAGGACGAAAGUCCCUCGCUACAAAUCAGAAAAAGAAAAGGGCUAAGUGGAUCACCUUGUCGAAGUCCUCUGGUGGGUUUGAAAACAUCACCUCUCCUUCCAUUGAUGUUAACUGUGUAAGAGACUGUAGAGACAUAUCUCAGAAUUAAUGACACCCAUUCUUCUGCAAAACCCAUACGUAACAGUACUUCCUUCAAGAAUGUCCACUCAACUCUAUCAUAGGCUUUACUCAUGUCUAACUUGACUGCCAUGUAUCCUAUUUUCCCCGUUCAUUUUUACGAAGUGUAUGAAGAAUUUCAUAAGAAAUCAACACAUUAUCAAAAAUUAAUCUUCCCGGAAUGAAUGCACUUUGAGCAUUGUUAAUACAUCUGUCAAUAAAUUCCUAUAGACGAUUAGCAAUAGUUUUUGCAAUAAUUUUUAUAAAUAACCGUACAUAGACUAAUAGGCCUGAAGUUGACAAGAUUUGUGGGAUCUGGAGUCUUCGGAAUAAGUACAAUCUCGGUAAGAUUGGAGUCUUCAAAAUUUUGACCGUCAUUCAGAACUCUCAAACAAAAGGUUUCAACGUCUUUCCCCACAAUAUGCCAGUAUUUUUGAAAGAAAAGUGUCGAAAAGCCAUCAUAACCUGGUGCUUUUGUGGGCCCCAUUUCUGUUACUGCCCUGAAAAUCUCUUCUGCCGUAUAUUUUUCCAGUAGGUUUCUAUUGAUGUUUGAAGAAAUGCUAUUCUUGAUACCUGACAGAAGAUGAGAAAGAUUUCUAACCCCAUUAGAUAAAAAAAGAUUUUGGAAGUAUUUUGUGGCAAUUUCAUUAAUUUCUGAUUCUUCAAAAAUCUUCUUUCCAUCAUCUGUGACCAGCCUGUUUAUUGUGUUGAUUCGUUUCCGCAUUGAGGCAUGCUUAUGGAAAAAUGUCGUAUUCUUAUCCCCUAGCUGGAGCCAAUUUGCUCUUGCUCUUUGUUCCCAGUACAUUUCAUCUUUAUCAAUCUCCAAAUUUAAAUGGAUUCACGUAUUAAUUAUCUGUGCCAUUGUAUCCUCGUCUCUCUCUUUCUCCAUUAAAAUUUCUAACUCCUUUGUGAACUUAUUCGUCAGCUCCUUUCGGGUCUUCUGUAUUGAUUUUGCCCAUCUUGACAGACUGGUCAGUAAUCUUUCAAGCUUUUCAACAAUAGAUCCACUUGACGACUUCCAUGAAUUCUUAAUCUCCUCUUCAAUCGACUCUUCUACAGUCCACCACGCCUCAAACUUAAAUCUUGGGGUUCCUUUGAAGUUAUCAACAUUAUUUGUACUAAUGAAGAGAGGGCAAUGAUCGGAAAGUGAAGAUGUUAAAUGGUGUAUAUUGCCUAUUGGGAACAGUUUCAUCCAUUCUUCAUUUGCAACACCCCUAUCUAGUCUUUCUCUAAUAUUUGUACUCGGUAGAUUCCCUCUCUCCCACGUGUACCAUGCUCCCGUAUAUCCCACAUCAAUGAGUUGACAUUCUUCCAAUACCUCCCGAAAUGCUUCCAUUCGUUUCUCCUCCCUCGGCUGACCUCCCUUCUUUUCAAAAGAAUACAUUAUUUCAUCGAAAUCGCCACUAACAAGCCACGGAUAGUUUUGUUCCUGUCCCAAAAAUCUUAGUAAAUUCCAUGAGGCAAUUUUAUUCUGAAUAUAAAGUGACCCAUAAAAUCCUGUGAAUCUCCAUUCUUUACUAACAUCGCCUUCUUUGAUCAACACAUCAAUAUGAUUAGUUGAGAAAGUUUUAAGACUAACCUGAGUUUCCUCUUUCCAUGCUAGGUAGGUCCCUCUUCUCAUACCUUCUGCUCCUACAUCAAAAACAUUCAUAAAACCACAUCGUCUCCUAAUUAUCUCCAUACGUCUUUCAUUAACUUUAGUCUCCAUAAGGAAGACUAUUUGGGGCUUAUUUUGCUUCAGUAAAAAUCGAAGCCUUCGUACUGCCCGUGGAUUCCCCAAUCCACGAACAUUCCAGCAUAUGAUUUUUAUUGUGUCCGGUCGGCUUGCCUAUUGGCAGCCGCCGAUCUAUUUUGGGUGGGGUUCUCUCUCAUUAAAUUUGUUUCAACCUCGUUUAUUGAAUUCUGUCCAUCACAUCGCCUCCUCUUUACUGCUCAUUCCCAUGUCUCUUUUCUGUUGUAAUCCUCAUAUUCAAUCUUUGUCAAUUUCUUUUUCUGUAAUUUACUUUCUGUGCCAUGAUAAUUCAACACUUCAGCUAGUUCAGCUCUUUUCCACCUGGAUUUCCUGGCUGGCUUUAUUGAGUCUUCGACUGUGAUACCUUUCUUUGACUUAUUCCCGUCAACUUCACCCAUAUUUUGCGUUCUUGUCUCCUUUGCUGUUAUUUUACCCACGAAUCCUCUUGUACUUCUUGGAUCAUACCACUACUUUUACCACUCUGUAAGUACAUCUCCUGGUCCUCCUUACCACCUCCUCUAUACGAACACUGUGGUUGUAGUUUUUUUGCUAAAGCGUUAAAUUUCAGGCUCUCCCUGCCAACCAAAUUUAUUUCUACUUUCAGUGCUAAAGAGAAAGGUGGGUUUUCUCUAAUUCUGUCUUUUUCUGCAGGUUGUAUUAUUGUGCAUUCCUG